rnacentral:rRNA from 1 species
UUAGGAUGAACGCUAGCGAUAGGCCUAACACAUGCAAGUCGAGGGCAGCACAGUGAAGUAGCAAUACAGAUGGUGGCGACCGGCGCACGGGUGAGUAACACGUAUGCAACCUACCUUCAACAGGAGAAUAACCCGGCGAAAGUCGGACUAAUACUCCAUAAUACAGGGAUCCCGCAUGGGAAUAUUUGUUAAAGAUUUAUCGGUUGAAGAUGGGCAUGCGUUCCAUUAGCUAGUUGGUGAGGUAACGGCUCACCAAGGCAACGAUGGAUAGGGGAACUGAGAGGUUUAUCCCCCACACUGGUACUGAGACACGGACCAGACUCCUACGGGAGGCAGCAGUGAGGAAUAUUGGUCAAUGGAGGCAACUCUGAACCAGCCACGUCCGCGUGAAGGAUGACGGCCCUACGGGUUGUAAACUUCUUUUGUAAGGGAAUAAAGUUUAGUACGUGUACUAUUUUGCAUGUACCUUACGAAUAAGGAUCGGCUAACUCCGUGCCAGCAGCUGC